rnacentral:rRNA from 1 species
AUAUUGGUCAAUGGACGCAAGUCUGAACCAGCCAUGCCGCGUGAAGGAUUAAGGUCCUCUGGAUUGUAAACUUCUUUUAUCUGGGACGAAAAAAGGCGAUUCUUCGUCACUUGACGGUACCAGAUGAAUAAGCACCGGCUAACUCCGUGCCAGCAGCCGCGGUAAU